rnacentral:lncRNA from 1 species
UCUAUGGCUCUAGGCAGCUAGAUAUUAGGUCAUGCAGGUGGAGGUUCCUAUUUUAGUUCAUCUAGCCAGAGUUGUUAUCUUAGUACUUCUAGGCCUCCAUAGAUUGAGUUAGACAGUAGAGGGUGUUAUGUAUAUCAUGAGGUUGGUAAUUUUUUAAAGGACUAUCCUCAGCAUAUGUUUCUUUCUACCGAACAGGGUUCUUAGCUUCAACUUUUCCUUACUCUUAUUUCUAUAGUUAGGGGUGCUUUAUAAAGUGGCAGGGGUGGUAAUAGAGGUGCUCAAAGUAGGUUUAUGGGUGAUCAUGGUGGUGGAUAUGGGGUUACUUAGUCUGAGAGUAGAAGUGGCCAGUGUUAUGCUAUACCUGGGAGACCCUAGGCAGAGGCCUUUG